CCCUCUGCUGCUCAUAAGCCGCCAGCGGAGCGGACAGCGCUGCCAUCCCGGAGCCGUCAUCCCGGAGCCGCCGUCCCGGAGCCGUCAUCCCGGAGCUCCGGUCGCAGCACGGUGGACCUGAGCUGGACCGACUGUCCGUCCAGAGGAGCCCGAGAUGAGCCGACACGCCGCAGACGCUCGGCCCCCUCCGCCGGACGGUGUCGCCCCCCCCGCGCUGCCCGGGGCCCACGUGCUCGACUCUGGAGCCGUGUUAUUCCCUGGUGCUUUUGAUCAACAUGGCUGCCCUUUGAUCGUGUUCCCAGUAGAUGGACAAGCCAGACUCUGCUCGGAACUCAGCAAAGCAGAAGUGGUGGACUUCAUAAAUUACUUUCUGUGUCUGCACAACAAGAAACAGGAGAAGGAGAGUUUGGUGUCAGUGGUGGCUGAUAUGCGUCAUGCUUCGCUCCUUACGACCAGGCUCAUCGCUGAGACCCUGCUUCUGCUUGAGAUGCACAAGCGGACAGUCCACAGUGUGUACGUAGUUCAGCCCAAAAAGAAAGAUGUUGUCAAGCUCUGGCUAAAGCUCCUGGCUCCAGCAAAAGCUCACACCGCCUCUUUCAAGAAAGUCUUCUUGAAAGAAAUCUCGGAGCUCUCCAACUACAUUGAUCGAAGCCAGCUAACUGCAUCGUUGGGUGGCUACUUUAUUUACUGUCAUCAGAGCUGGGUAGCCUUCAUUAAGGAGAUUGAUGUGUUCGUCCAGGAGUUCCUGUCUGUGGUCCAGCAGCUUCCCUCAUAUACCUUCACCUUGCAGGCCCUGUCCAGGCUGCCGCUGCCCACCACUCUCAGAGGCUCCAAAAUUUCUGCUACAUCAACGAGGCCAAGUUCCAACAGCUCAGAAGGUCAGACUCACAACUGCAAUUAUUGA
rnacentral:lncRNA from 1 species